GGCAAGUCUGGUGCCAGCAACCGCGGUAAUUCCAGCUCUAAUAGCGUAUAUUAAAGUUGUUGCGGUUAAAAGGCUCGUAGUUGGUUCUGUGUGCCAUGCUGUUGGUUCACCGCCUGCCGGUGUAACUGACAUGUCAUGGGACGUCCUGUCGGUGGUAAUUAAAGCCCUAUCUUUUAGUUAGAGGGCCUGUGCCAUCUAUCUAAAUGUAGGUCACUUUAAUUACCGAUUACCUCCUGCCGCGGUGCUCUUUACUGAGUGUCGAGGUGGGCCGACACGUUUACUUUGAACAAAUUAGAGUGCUCAAAGCAGGCAAAAAUCUGCCUGAAUAGUGGUGCAUGGAAUAAUAGAAUAAGAUCUUGGUUCUGAUUUGUUGGUUUUUAAGAAUCCAAGGUAAUGAUCAAUAUGGACAGGCGGGGGCAUUCGUAUUGCGACGUUAGAGGUGAAAUUCUUGGAUCGUCGCAAGACGAACUAGAGCGAAAGCAUUUGCCAAGUAUGUCUUAAUUGAUCAAGAACGAAAGUUAGAGGUUCGAAGGCGAUCAGAUACCGCCCUAGUUCUAACCAUAAACGAUGUCAGCCAGCGAUCCGCCGAUGUUUUUUUCAUGACUCGACGGGCAGCUUCCGGGAAA
rnacentral:rRNA from 1 species